ACAGGUUCAGCCCUCUAUCAGUUCAAUUCUCAUUAACAAAGCUUCAAAAUGGGUAUUAAAUGUACCAAUUAUCAGCUGAGCAUGUUUUCUGGCAGUUCUGGCACAAAGUGCAAAGAUGUGGGGCAGAAAUAAAUAAUAAUAAAUGGUCUUGAUCAUAAAACAGAGUGCUGUAGGUCAGCUUACCCGUGGGCAGCCAUUGUUAGUGUGUGUGUAAUUAUGGUGGUAUAUAUGUUAGUGUAUAUGUGUAAUUAUGUAUGUUAGUAUGUGGCUAAUUACUUACUAUCUGAAAAGCGAAAGCUGCUUAGUUUUUCCUGUUGUAAGGAAAGCCACAUACUGUUCACAUUUGUUAUUCGUCAAUCUAAAAAUAAGAAAGUGUUAUUUCAACGUUUAAAAAGGUUAGUCAGUCACGGCUAACAAUGGAUACUAUUUCAUAAUACCUUAAUCGUUGAUGUUUGGAAGGUUUAGUACUGAGUAAAUACUUGACAGAACUUAUUUCCUGAUACACCUAUUUCACCUGAACAUCUAAUCCUUUACCGCUGAUAUGUGUAACGUCAAUAUUAGACUUUGCCUGCGUUUAUUGAAA